CACCUGAGGCCCUUUGUGCUGCCAGCGGAGUUCACCCUCCUCACCCUGGGCAAGGUCAUGGCGGCCAGCGUGUACAGGUGCGUCCCUUUCCUGGGCAUCACCCUGACCACCAUGCAGACCGUGAUGCGAGGGAUAGAUGACAGCAGGAGACGAGGGGCCUUCUGCACCGCCCUGGAGUGCACGUGUGGGGCAAUCAGCACUUACCUGAGGAGCUGGGAGAGGAGCACCCAUCCACAAAUCACGCUCCAGCGCUUCUCUGCACACCUGCUCCCCACGUACCGGUACCUCCUCAGCGCCUGGCUGCCCAGCGAGGACACAGAGGUCAAACUGGCUGUCCUCAAGGCCCUGGGGCCAGUGCUGAGCAUCCUGCUGCCCAGGAAGGAUCUGCAAAACCAGAUCGUUGGGGACAUCCCCCUGCUCCUGGCUCAGUAUGGGAAGAACAUCGAGGCCUUUUACAUCACCAAGGUUCUGGGACAGAUCUUGCAGGCCUCUUCCUCCAAGAACCCGACCCCAGAGGUGUAUGUGGCGGCCAUCUCCCACACGCUGAGCUACCAGGUCACUUCCAAAGCUCAGCGGCCCUAUCAGCUCUGCAGGGAGAACCACACAGAGAUUCCCCACGUCUUCCUGCAACUCGCCCGUUCCCAUCCAUCGCAGCUGUUGGGGAUUUUCCAUUGAAAACUGUUAAUGGGCAGGGGAGAUACCCGUGUGGGGAUCCUGGCCCUGAUGUCAUAUGUUAUUGGUGCUGAAGGAGCGUCCAAUGCGGAGCCUUCCCCUGCGGGGGCUGCUGGAAAAAACGGUCCAGAAAACCAGCCUGGCCACCUUAGAAAUAAUCGUUGCCUCGGGCAGGGGGAUCAGCCAGGAGCUCUGGGAACGGCUCCUGGGC